CUGUUAGAAAGCUAUCUAUGUAGCUACUAACAUUAGCGAGAUAAUGGUUGGAGAUUAACGUUAGCUCGAUUAACUUCUAUCUGCACUGCCAUCAACGUCUAGCCUCCUAUGUUAGGUUAGCUACAUUUCUAGUUUAGAAUCAAGUGUCUCUGAUAGAAAAUACAAAUCCCUUAGGUUAGGAGUUUGACAUCAAUUACUAUUACUGGUUUGUCAAAUGUUCUAGGUUAGUUGACUAGCUGUUAGCUUUAACAAACUUGCUAGAUAACUUUGAGGCAAUGAUAGGCAGACAUCUUACAUUAGCUGAUUCAGCCCAUUUAUCUCUAACAUGGAAUGAUCAAAAUGACUAUUUCAAUUUUUUGGUCAGGUAGAGACAGAAAGAAGGGCGUAAAAUGGUUAAUCCAUGUGAGUUUUCGAAUUUGUCGGAUGAUGAGGGAAAUGAUACAGAGAAGACGGAGAUGCAGGACAGCUCUCCCAGUCCAGCGCCAAGUUUUGAGGAGGAGGAUUGGGACACUGAAAUCAACCAGCUAAAUAUGCCUUAUGGCCCAGAAGACCUUGUUAUGGAAGAUCCCCAUCUUAAAAUGCCAUUCCACGUCCCCGAUCACAAGCUGUCAGAGGUCAAGUACAAACCGUCUAUUCACCAUGUACCACCAGUGCGUAUUAUCCAAACACAGAAAGUGGUCGUUGAAGGAGAUCAAUUUGAGGACGCGGAGGAAUGAAGAGAAACUUUAUUAUGAAAGUUGUUUCCUGUCCUGAGCAAUUUGCACUUCGGUCUCCAACCUUAAAGGACGAUUUUUUUUUAGUAAGUUAAUUAAGUCUGUGAUUUGUUCUGAGGAUGUAAUCACCAAUUAAAAACAACAACCUGUCAGAGGAAGAAGGAGGUCUACAUUUAUGUUUCUGGCAUUUGAAGGACAUUGAUGCUACGGUGCUAGAGCAGAGCAAGGACCGCACGGAUAAAUGAUAAGUGAGGAAGAGGCUUUUUAUGUUUCACUUGUAUUAAUCAGAAUCAUCAUAUUGCUUUGGGAAAAAAAGUUGCAUCAUCCUCCUGAAACCUGCAUACUAUAAUAAAAGUGCUGUGAAACAGG